UUUCUUGACGCCCACAAUGAGGGCUUGGGGCAGCCGUUUGGUGCCUGGCUUCGGGGAGCCAGAGUGGUUGGAUCCGGAGAGGCGCGGUGCUGGCGCGGCAGCAGCGGGCGCGCUGGGAGUGCUGGGCUCACUGGGCGUCGGUCCCGGGGGAUCACACGGGCGGGACUUCGCCAGAAGUUUCUGGCCGCUUGCGUUGGGGCCACGGAGGCAGCGCGGCGCGCCGAGCAGGCGGCUCUGGCCCAGACCGUCGCAGCAGCACAGGAAGCUGUAACACAGCAGAACCUGCGUCUGAUUAAGGUGCCACUGACAACGGUCUUCCCUGGAUGGAGGAGGGAGCGGUUUACAGCCCCCAAAGUUGAAUCACGGCCUCAAGAGCACAUGAGAAAGCUCCCCAGCCAUCUCUCCAUCGGGGUUCCAGACCCGCUCCAUGAAGCUAACGAUCCAAAGAAUAUACUGAGGGGGCAGAGUGCUUCCCAUCAUUAGUCUCAACCAUUAAAUCCUGGAGAAAGAAUACGAUUUGCCCAUUAUAGGACUGGGACUCACCUCUACCUCCUUGACAGUGAUUGACGCCCUCACAUCGUACACCAAGGGUUUGGGUAGCUGCCCAAAGAGAUACAGAAGUACGACGGCCCCCAAAAUGAACCAUGAGUCCAGGGCAGACAUGAGGAACAGAAUCUCUUACAAGCU
rnacentral:lncRNA from 1 species